rnacentral:rRNA from 1 species
CCUACGGGCUGCAGCAGUGGGGAAUAUUGGGCAAUUGGCGCAAGCCUGACCCAGCAACGCCGCGUGAAGGAAGAAGGCUUUCGGGUUGUACACUUCUUUUGUCAGGGAAGAGUAGAAGACGGUACCUGACGAAUAAGCCACGGCUAACUACGUGCCAGCAGCCGCGGUAAUACGUAGGUGGCAAGCGUUGUCCGGAUUUACUGGGUGUAAAGGGCGUGUAGCCGGGUUGACAAGUCAGAUGUGAAAUCCUGCGGCUUAACCGCAGAACUGGAAUUGAAACUGGUGAUCUUGAGUACUGGAGAGGCAGAUGGAAUUCCGAGUGGAGGGGUGAAAUGCGGAGAUAGUAGGAGGAAAACCAGUGGCGAAAGCGGUCUGAUGGACAGCAACUGACGGGGAGGCGCGAAAGCGGGGGGAGCAAACAGGAUUAGAUACCCGGGUAGUC